GCUAGUAAUGGCAGGUCAGCAUACUGCCGUGAAUACGUUCCCGGGCCUUGUACCCACCGCCCGUCACACCAUGAGAGUUGGAAAUACCCGAAGCCUGUGAGCUGACCGUAAGGGGGCAGCAGUCGAAGGUAGAGCCAAUGAUUGGGGUGAAGUCGUAACAAGGUAUC
rnacentral:rRNA from 1 species